rnacentral:lncRNA from 1 species
GUCACCCCAAAGAAGAGAGUACAUGAGUACAAGAAACAGUUUGGCAAUAAGGAAUCCACUCGAAAGGUAAGUUUCCACGAAAUUCUCUUUUAUCUUUUACUAGAACAAGAAAAUUCAAAAAAAGGGGGUCAGUUAGUAUCCUCGAACUUUUUCCCUUUAGUCAGCAUUAGGGCUCCAACCCUAAACAGAACUUUCUCUGUAGUCAGCAUUAGGGUUUCAAAACCUAAACUGAACUUUUUCCCUUUAGUCAGCAUUAGGGUUUUAAACCCUAAACUGAACUUUUUCCCUUUAGUCAACAUUAGGGCUCCAACCCUAAAAUGAACUUGUCCAUUUAGUCAGCAUUAGGGUUUUAAACCUUAAACUGAACUUUUUCCCUUUAGUCAGCAUUAGGGUUUUAAACCGGUUUUAAACCCUAAACUGAACUUUUUCCUUUGGUCAGCAUUAGGGUUUUAAACCCUAAACUACUGAACUUUUUCCCUUUAGUCAAGCAUUAGGGGUUUUAAACCCUAAACUAAACUUUUUCCCUUUAGUCAGCAUUAGGGUUUUAAACCCUAAACUGAACUCUUUUCUUUGGUCAGCAUUAGGGUUUCAACCCUAAACUGAACUUUCCCUUUAGUCAGCAUUAGGGCUCCAACCCUAAACUGAACUUUUUCCUUU